rnacentral:rRNA from 1 species
AGUGAACGCUGGCGGUAGGCCUAACACAUGCAAGUCGAACGGCAGCACAGUAAGAGCUUGCUCUUACGGGUGGCGAGUGGCGGACGGGUGAGGAAUACAUCGGCAUCUACUUUUUCGUGGGGGAUAACGUAGGGAAACUUACGCUAAUACCGCAUACGACCUACGGGUGAAAGCAGGGGAUCUUCGGACCUUGCGCGAUUGAAUGAGCCGAUGUCGGAUUAGCUAGUUGGCGGGGUAAAGGCCCACCAAGGCGACGUUCCGUAGCUGGUCUGAGGGGAUGACCGGCACAACUGGAACGGGGAAACGGCCCAGACUCCUACGGGAGGCAGCGGUGGGGAAUAUUGGAAAAGGGGCGCAAGCCGGAUCCAGCCAUACCGCGUGGGUGAAGAAGGCCUUCGGGUGGUAAAGCCCUUUUGUUGGGAAAGAAAAGCAGCAGGUUAAUACCGCGCUGUUCUGACGGUACCAAAAGAAUAAGCACCGGCUAACUUCGU